GGCAGACGGGUGAGUAACGCGUGGGAACAUACCCUUCGGUACGGAACAACUUGGGGAAACUCGAGCUAAUACCGUAUACGGCCCAUGGGCGAAAGAUUGAUCGCCGAAGGAUUGGCCCGCGUCCGAUUAGCUAGUUGGUGGGGUAAUGGCUCACCAAGGCGACGAUCGGUAGCUGGUCUGAGAGGAUGACCAGCCACAUUGGGACUGAGACACGGCCCAAACUCCUACGGGAGGCAGCAGUGGGGAAUAUUGGACAAUGGGCGCAAGCCUGAUCCAGCCAUGCCGCGUGAGUGAUGAAGGCCUUAGGGUUGUAAAGCUCUUUCGCACGCGACGAUAAUGACGGUAGCGUGAGAAGAAGCCCCGGCUAACUUCGUGCCAGCAGCCGCGGUAAUACGAAGGGGGCUAGCGUUGUUCGGAUUUACUGGGCGUAAAGGGCGCGUAGGCGGAUUGGUCAGUCAGGGGUGAAAUGCCGAGGCUCAACCUCGGAACUGCCUUUGAUACUGCCGGUCUGGAGUCCGGGAGAGGUGAGUGGAACUGCGAGUGUAGAGGUGAAAUUCGUAGAUAUUCGCAAGAACACCAGUGGCGAAGGCGGCUCACUGGCCCGGAACUGACGCUGAGGCGCGAAAGCGUGGGGAGCAAACAGGAUUA
rnacentral:rRNA from 1 species